CCUACGGGUGGCUGCAGUGGGGAAUAUUGCACAAUGGGGGAAACCCUGAUGCAGCGACGCCGCGUGAGUGAAGAAGCAUUUCGGUACGUAAAGCUCUAUCAGCAGGGAAGAAAUACUGACCUUAUGGUCAGCAGACGGUACCUGACUAAGAAGCACCGGCUAACUACGUGCCAGCAGCCGCGGUAAUACGUAGGGGGCAAGCGUUAACCGGAUUUAUUGGGUGUAAAGGGAGCGUAGACGGCAGGGCAAGUCUGAAGUGAAAUCCCAGGGCUUAACCCUGGAACUGCCUUGGAAACUGUGGAGCUGGAGUGCAGGAGAGGUAAGCGGAAUUCCUAGUGUAGCGGUGAAAUGCGUAGAUAUUAGGAGGAAUAUCAGUGGCGAAGGCGGCUUACUGGACUGUAACUGACGUUGAGGAUCGAAAGCGUGGGGAGCAAACAGGAUUAGAUACCCUUGUAGUC
rnacentral:rRNA from 1 species